rnacentral:rRNA from 1 species
AGCGAACGCUGGCGGCAGGCCUAACACAUGCAAGUCGAACGAACCCUUCGGGGCUAGUGGCGGACGGGUGAGUAACACGUGGGAACGUGCCUUUAGGUUCGGAAUAACUCAGGGAAACUUGUGCUAAUACCGAAUGUGCCCUUCGGGGGAAAGAUUUAUCGCCUUUAGAGCGGCCCGCGUCUGAUUAGCUAGUUGGUGAGGUAAAGGCACACCAAGGCGACGAUCAGUAGCUGGUCUGAGAGGAUGAUCAGCCACAUUGGGACUGAGACACGGCCCAAACUCCUACGGGAGGCUGCAGUGGGGAAUCUUGCGCAAUGGGCGAAAGCCUGACGCAGCCAUGCCGCGUGAAUGAUGAAGGUCUUAGGAUUGUAAAAUUCUUUCACCGGGGACGAUAAUGACGGUACCCGGAGAAGAAGCCCCGGCUAACUUCGUGCCAGCCGCCGCCGUAAUAC